rnacentral:rRNA from 1 species
AUUGAACGCUGGCGGCAGGCCUAACACAUGCAAGUCGAGCGGAGCUGCGGACGGGUGAGUAAUUCCUACGAAUCUGCCUGGUAGUGGGGGAUAACGUCCGGAAACGGGCGCUAAUACCGCAUACUAUCAGAUGAGCCUAGGGUGGAUUAGUUCGUUGGUGGGGGAAAGGCCUACCAAGGCGACGAUCCGGAACUGGUCUGAGAGGAUAAUCAGUCACACUGGAACUGAGACACGGUCCAAACGCCUACGGGAGGCAGCAGUGGGGAAUGUUGGACAAUGGGCGAAAGCCUGAUCGAGCCAUGCCGCGUGUGUGAAGAAGGUCUUCGGAUUGUAAAGCGCUUUAAGUUGGGAGGCGUUACCAACAGAAUAAGCACCGGCUAACUUCGGGCCAGCAGCCGCGGUAAUAC